UCAAACUUGGUCAUUUAGAGGAAGUAAAAGUCGUAACAAGGUUUCCGUAGGUGAACCUGCGGAAGGAUCAUUAACAAAUCCAAAGUGUAUUCUGAUCAUGUGCAAUGCAUGUGUUUUCAGAGCACAUUUGUUCCAUGUGUAUUUCAUGUGCACAUUGAUACAUUUCUGUAAAUUGUCUGAUUCAAUUCUAUUUCAAUCUAAAAUGACUUUUAACAAUGGAUCUCUAGGCUCUUGCAUCGAUGAAGAACGCAGC
rnacentral:misc_RNA from 1 species